rnacentral:rRNA from 1 species
AUUGAACGCUGGCGGCAUGCUUUACACAUGCAAGUCGAACGGUAGCGGGGAGGAGCUUGCUUCUCUGCCGGCGAGUGGCGAACGGGUGAGUAAUACAUCGGAACGUGUCGAGAAGAGGGGGAUAACCACCCGAAAGGGUGGCUAAUACCGCAUAAAUUCUGAGGAAGAAAGCUGGGGACCUAGGAAUAGGCCUAGCGCUUUUUGAGCGGCCGAUGUCGGAUUAGCUAGUUGGUGAGGUAAAGGCUCACCAAGGCGAAGAUCUGUAGCGGGUCUGAGAGGAUGAUCCGCCACACUGGGACUGAGACACGGCCCAGACUCCUACGGGAGGCAGCAGUGGGGAAUUUUGGACAAUGGGGGCAACCCUGAUCCAGCCAUGCCGCGUGUAUGAAGAAGGCCUUAGGGUUGUAAAGUACUUUUGUUAGGGAAGAAAAGUCAGCUGUGAAUAAUGGCUGAUACUGACGGUACCUAAAGAAUAAGCACCGGCUAACUACGUG